rnacentral:rRNA from 1 species
GAUGAACGCUGGCGGCGUGCCUAAUACAUGCAAGUCGAACGCAUAGCGAAAGGUGCUUGCACCUUUCAAGUGGGUGGCGAACGGGUGAGUAACACGUGGACAACCUGCCUCAAGGCUGGGGAUAACAUUUGGAAACAGAUGCUAAUACCGAAUAAAACUUAGUGUCGCAUGACACAAAGUUAAAAGGCGCUUCGGCGUCACCUAGAGAUGGAUCCGCGGUGCAUUAGUUAGUUGGUGGGGUAAAGGCCUACCAAGACAAUGAUGCAUAGCCGAGUUGAGAGACUGAUCGGCCACAUUGGGACGGAGACACGGCCCAAACUCCUACGGGAGGCUGCAGUAGGGAAUCUUCCACAAUGGGCGAAAGCCUGAUGGAGCAACGCCGCGUGUGUGAUGAAGGCGUUCGGGUCGUAAAGCACUGUUGUAUGGGAAGAACAGCUAGAAUAGGAAAUGAUUUUAGUUUGACGGUACCAUACCAGAAAGGGACGGCUAAAUACGUG